UGAGCCCAGAUCUUCAGGCGGCCGAAAAGAUCAAAAGUAUCGCCGAAGGAAUGAAACUAUGGCCUCAAAUGGAAUCAUGUGUACUAACAUGCAGGAAAGAAUGUGAUGCAAAAGGCGAUGCCAAUGCUUCAUGUCAUCAGAAAUGCAACAAUGAUUGCACGGAAAAGACUAUUGCAUCAGUCAAGAACUAACUUCCCAUUGAUAAUUGGCCAUGGAAUUAUUAAAGCAGAGAUCGGGAAAAUGAUCGGAUCAAGUAUAAAUUAUUUGAAUAAUUAGCAUUUAACAAGGAAAAUCUAAAUUCCUUGACCCUCUUGUCGUCCAAUUUUAUUGCUUAUUUAUACAAAGGUUUUAUCCUUACAUAUCGUUGUGUGCUUCUUUCAUAAUUGUUGUCAACAACGAGAUCAAUAAAAUUCAUUUAGUUUAAGUGUUUAUUCA